UAUGACGUAUGAGAAACGAAGGAAGAUGAGAAGCAAAGGGAACCUUUCCCAGAGCAACUAGCCCCUCGCAAAGAGAGAGAGAAAGAGAGAAAGAAAGAGAAAAAAGAGAAAGAAAUAUAUAUAUAUAUAGAGAAAGAGAGAGAGAGAGAGAGAGAGAGAAAGAGAGCGAGUGAAGGAACGAAGAAGAAGAAAAAGAGAAGUAGUUUAAUCGCACUUCUGUAAAAGGAAGAAAUAUUAAAACCAAGAGACAAUAGAAUAAAGAGAGAAGGAAAAUAAAGAGAGAUAGUGUCGAUAGGUGGGAGGGUGUGCGCGCAUAAAAAAAAAAAAAGCCCAAGGAAAAGAGAUUGGCAGCCAUAUUUUCCCGACGUCGUCGUUUCAUUCUAUGGCCCAUGGUGCCGUUUUUACUUGGAAUCUUUAAAGCUGCUGCUCGUCAGCGACCUCGACGAGCCAACGUAUUCGCGCCGCCGCCGUGUAGAAAUUUAAAGAGAACGGCCGAGGAUAGGAGUUAGUGUAAGAGCUCAGAGAGAUAAAGACGGACGGGCAAAGAGAGAGAAAAAGUAGUAGGAGAAGAGAAGGAUAGAAGGAGAGAUAACGAUAAGUUAUCGGACGCUAAUGAUACGGCGUGGCGGCCGGAGAGAGUGUCGAGUGUGCGUGUAAACGGUGCUAGAAGAGCGCGAGAAUCAAUGGACGUACUUUCGUCUUGUUUUUUGGAAAAGAACAAGAAAAAAGAAAGAAAUUAAAAGAAAAGACGAAGAUCAAAGGUGGAGAAUAAAAUCAUUACUAUUACGUGUUACGUUAUCUAUGAUAUUCUAACGGCUAACGAGGAGAAAGAGACGGCAAGACAGUCGCGACAUUCUUGUGAGAACAACGACGACGACGACGACGACGACGACGACGACGACGACGACGAGGACGACGAGGACGACGAGGACGACGGAGAAGAGGCCUUCGAUCUUACGAAGAAUUACAUUUGAUUCUUCGUGAUUCAUAAUUCCUCGUCAUUAUCAUCGUCAUCGUCAUCAUCAUCAUCAUCGUCAUCUUCUUUUUCUUCAUCUUCCUUCUCUUCUUCUACGUCGAUAGGCUUACCCGUGAAAACGGAAAUCUUUGGUAUAUCUCUCACAUCGCACACAGUCACGCGAUACCGCGUACAUCAGCUCCACGAGAUGGAGAGACGAGCUGCUUUUGUGCUCCUUGGAAUGCUAUAUUUAGCGGGCACCCUCGAGUCGGUCCAGGCAGUGAUCUAUUCGGGACCGAUGAUCGUACACAAGGGUGAAUCUUGGAGUAUCGAAUGCAGCGGCCUCCAGCCGGACGAUAACAUUAGGUGGACCAGAAACGGUCAGACUCUCGAGCCGGAGUUGGCGAGCGGUCAAUUGAUCGUCCGUCCGAAGGCCAAGACCGGAGGAAGCGAGCUAACAGCGACUCAUGCCACGGAGUUCCACGAAGGCGACUACAAGUGCACGCCCGACAGCUCCGAUGCUUUUCAUCUAUCUCUAUAUUUCGACGUGAAGAUUCGAGUACUUACACAAAAGGAGACACCCCUUUCGUUGGAGUGCGGUAAUCGAAGCACAGGAGAUAAAGCAAUAUGGUAUAAGGAAAAAAUGCCGAUAUUGACGACAAUGGUUGGUAAAGAGGACCUCAUCAAGAUAGACAACGAGACUGGUACCUUGGAUGUAUUAAAAAUUGACGAUAUUGUCGUUUAUGGAAAUUAUUCUUGCAAAGUAGGAAAUACCUCGACUGACUACAGGAUCGUACCUAAACCUACCGUUGUCUUACCCGAAUCGACUAGCGUCGUCGAAGGUGAAAAAUUACUUUUAGUAUGUAACGGUAAACACAGUCCAGGUGUCAAGAUCAUAUGGACAUUUGGAAAUCAAAAUUAUACCGCCAGCAAGGGUAGAGUAAAGAUUUCGCAAGACCAAGAGAGAGGAAUUUACGGUGCAGUAUUGACGGUAGAAAACAUCGAGAUGAACGAUCGCGGUAUUAUCCACUGCAGGGUGUCUUAUAAUUGGUCCGACCCGGUGGAAGGUCAUUCGGCGCAAGCUGUCACUUUACUUAGGGUCAAGGACAAGCUCGCCGCACUUUGGCCUUUCCUUGGUAUCUGCGGUGAGGUCGUCGUACUUUGCGCCAUUAUUCUUGUUUAUGAAAAGAAACGAAAUAAGGCCGAACUUGACGAGUCCGAUACCGAGCAGAGUCCCGACACUCACGAGACAGAGCCUAAGAACGACGAAUCAUUAGAAUAUUAUAUUCCUCUGCACGGACCUCUCCCACCUUCGGAUCUUCCAGUUCACCCACCUGUGACACCUCCACCCGAACCAUCUAAGUACGAAUAUAUUCGAUUCAACGUCCCAUCUAGAGAACCAACUCGACAUCCGCCCUUUAAAUCAGCACCAUCGUGAUUAACAAGUAACCCUAAUUAUUCAUCAACUAUAUGACGAAUAUUUUAUUGGAACGACCAACCGAAAUCAACGAUCAUUUAUAUGAAUAUAUCUUAUUUAUUCUUGUCUUCCUCUCGCCAUCUUGGUUCACCAAGAAAGUCAUGUGGAGGGGGGGAAGAGGGAGAGGAAGAGAAUACUUUACUGUAAACCAACGCCUAACAAGGAUUCCGAUGUCAGGCAGAGAAAGUGAAGAGUCAAAAUUUAAGCGGCGGAAGAACGAGCGCGAUGCAUAUACAUAUAUACCAAGAGAAAAACAAAUUGAGAUAAGGAAUACGAAACGUGGUAUUUAAUGGAGUGACAACUUAAAACCAGCCCGGAAUACUUAGCGAAUAUGGAUCUUCAUCGAGGAAGAAAAAUAAAGAUAAAGAUUGAUAGAUAAAGAUAGAAAGAGAGAGAUAGAUAGAUAAAGAGAGAGAGGGAGAGAGAGAGAGAGAGAAAGUAUGUAUAUGUGUAUGUAUGUGUGUGCAUGUGUAUAUGCGUAUUAAGUAUGCAAGAAAGAGAAAGAGAGAGAGAGAGAGAGAGAAAAAAAGAGCGAGAGAGAAAAAGAGCGAGAGAGAAAGAGAGAGAGAGAAAGCGAGAGAGAGAAUAAAAGCAUUAUAUGCCACAGUGUGUGUUAUUGCGUAAAAGAAAGAAAAAGAAAAAAGGAAAUGAAAGAAAAAUAUAGUAAGAUGGAAAAAUUAGGAGAGAGAAAAUAAAAUAAAAUAAAAUAAAAUAAAAUAAAAUAAAAUAAAAAAUGGGAGAUUGUGGAUAAACGCGCGGAAAUUAACAUUUACGAACGAGUUAAAUUAAGCCUUAAUAUGGUGUUCGCUCCAUUUACCCAGACGUUCGUCUGUUCGUACUCUUGACUACAUUGCUUUGAUCGAUAGAAAAAUGAUGUGCUGAUGUGUCCUCCGUAUGUGUGUGCGUCAUAAACGUGCGCGUUCGUCUACGUUCGCGCGCGCGCGCGCGCGUGUGUGUCGUUGCAUAUAUAUAUAUAUAUAUAUAUAUAUAUAUAUAUAUGCGCGCACGUGUACUGCCUGCGCGCGCGCGCGUGCGCGCGUAUGUGUAUGUAUGCGAGUGUGUGUGUGUGUGUAUGUGAUGCUGCUCGAUGUGUACGUUUGGAUAAGAAAAAAAUAUCCGUGUAAUUAACGUUCAGAGGAGAGAAAGUAAAGGGCGCGAGAGUCAUGAUGAUAAUGAUGAUAACAUGAUUAUGAUGAUGAUGAUGAUGAUGAUGAUGAUGAUGAUGAUGAUGAUGGCGAUGAUGAAGCAGCGUACGCAAGAUGCAUUCAAAAUGGCGAUCUGGAUAUGGCAUUACGUAUGAUUAAUCUGUGUCAAACGGACAAGAAUGAAAGAAGUCGGUUAUUAUAAUUGCCGAUACGAUUUGUCCGCUUCGGAGAAUGCGAUUGCUCGUGCGCUUGCGCGCCCGUGAUUAGUGAUUACGAGAAAGAAAAACAAAUCUUAUUUGUUGCAAUUAAUCUUAAUGCAUUAGUAUGAUGGUCGGUCGCGCAUACGUUCAUCACAUAUUUUAGUAUCGUUCUUCUGAAACAAGAAAAUCAGAGUGAUUGGGAGAGAGGUAGAUGGAGUAGAGAGUGAAGGAACGUCAAGUCAAAAGUGACGGACCUUUGUGGCUUCUCUCCUGUGUGUAAUCUUCGUGCACAUGAUCGACGAAAGUCCAGAAAGAGAGAAAGAAAAAAUGGAAGAAAGAACAAACAAACAAACAAACAAACAAAUAAAAAAGUAAAUAAAUAAAAACAAAGGAAAAAAAAGAACAAAAAAAGAAAAAGAAGAAAAAACAAUCUUAUGGUAGGCCCGGAAAUGUGCUCGAUACUACUAGUUACAUUAUAACAUUAUGAUAUAGGAUCGACGGGGCAAUGUUGGCGUUAAUAUUUGACUUCCGAUUUCACUCAUCACAACCAUUUCGGAGGUACGGAGAACAACUUACCUUUGGCGUCGCCUUAUUACAAUUAUAAAUCACCAAUUACCAAAUGAUAUCGGAAGUCUUGCCGCGCCAUCGACGCCGUUGUUAACGACAUUACACUGUAAUUAAUACUGUAAUACUAUUGCCAUCGUUACUACUGCUGCUACUAUCGUUAUUAUGAUUAUUACAAGUAUUAUCGUUAAUUUUA